CCAAUAAAAACAAUCGACACACAAGUUCAUAGUCUAUGGCACGGCCGACGGUGAAUAGUUAUAGAGUAUUAUGUAAGAGAAAGCAAGACGUAACUAGUUACGUUAGCGGUUACGCGGGUAAAAAGUGCUUUCUCGCGGCAACUCGGCCACGGGCAAUGUGUCAAGUGCGGCAAGGAAAGUACAGCGUUGCCGUCCCGAACGCUUACAACACAUCCGUCUGGAGAAAGCGUAGGUCAUCAACAUCACGCGUCUAUCCCGCCGAGUACGGUAGGGAACGGGCCGAAACAUAUCUAUAAUGGGAUUGGAAUCGGAAUUAUCGUCGUUUCGUAUAUUUUUCUUCGGUAGUGAUAAAACGCGAGAUUCAUGUACACGUUUCGUUGGCCGGCCUAAUUCCGAGAAUGGGUCGUAAACAAGUCGCGUCAUUUGGAACAAAUGAAAAUUGCUAGUUGUGGUGUGGAAGUUGUCUGACGGAGCGAGACGGCGGGAUGCGCGGUGCGGCAACGUCGCAAAACCACGUGACUGGCUGCGACUCUUGCGUAAGCGUACGACAACAACGUCGCCAGGCAGCACAUAUUACAUUUACCCCCGGCGAGACCUAUAUUGUUAUUGGAACCAAUAAACUAUCGAUACGACUUCUACUAUCUCAUUAACGUGUCGCGUUAUGGUCGUACGAGGCUUUGAAGGUCACAUUUGGGUGGUGCAUUGCGACAGGUCGACUGAGUCGUCUUAUGAAACGACGCUUGCGCAGCUCACCCCACCCCACCGACGGCGCUCGUGACUCAUGUCGAAACUUACUAGAAGCGAACGAAUACCGCACACCCGGCUAACGCGUCGACGAGGGUUGCCCAUCCUUUGUGAACCUUCCCUACACUUCCUUCCUAAAUAAACAGCUUGGAAAUCACUGAA